CGGGCAUUGGCACAAAAAGGAAAGGAAAAAGUUAUCAAGGAGUAAUCGAGAAAUUCGGGUUAAUAGGUAUUCAGAGUCUCGGUUUAGCGUCCAAGCGAUCCCGAUUCUAGAGCAAACUCGGUGAUGUAUUCUUCUUUUGGUAAAAGUGGCAUGUACAUAGGUGUUAUUUUAAUACUUUAAAAUGCUAUAUGAUUUUUGUUGUAAAGAGUGAUAUUUGAUAUUUUGGUGUUUAAACAAUGAAAUGGUAUGAAAAUUUAUAUGAUAUAUUUGGUAUAAUUAGAUA